GUGACGAAAAAUAACGAUACGGGACUCAUCCGAGGCCCCGUAAUCGGAAUGAGUACACUCUAAACCCUUUAACGAGGAUCAAUUGGAGGGCAAGUCUGGUGCCAGCAGCCGCGGUAAUUCCAGCUCCAAUAGCGUAUAUUAAAGUUGUUGCGGUUAAAAAGCUCGUAGUCGAAUCUGUGUCCCGCGCCGCCGGUUCAUCGUUCGCGGUGUUAACUGGCGUGUCGCGGGACGUCCUGCCGGUGGGCUUAGCUCGCGAGGGCGGCCCAACUCAAUCCCGCCGCGGUGCUCUUCAUUGAGUGUCGAGGUGGGCCGGCACGUUUACUUUGAACAAAUUAGAGUGCUUAAAGCAGGCUAAAACUUCGCCUGAAUACUGUGUGCAUGGAAUAAUGGAAUAGGACCUCGGUUCUAUUUUGUUGGUUUUCGGAACCCCGAGGUAAUGAUUAAUAGGAACGGAUGGGGGCAUUCGUAUUGCGACGUUAGAGGUGAAAUUCUUGGAUCGUCGCAAGACGGACAGAAGCGAAAGCAUUUGCCAAAAACGCUUUCAUUGAUCAAGAACGAAAGUUAGAGGUUCGAAGGCGAUCAGAUACCGCCCUAGUUCUAACCAUAAACGAUGCCAGCUAGCGAUCCGCCGACGUUCCUCCGAUGACUCGGCGGGCAGCUUCCGGGAAACCAAAGCUUUUGGGUUCCGGGGGAAGUAUGGUUGCAAAGCUGAAACUUAAAGGAAUUGACGGAAGGGCACCACCAGGAGUGGAGCCUGCGGCUUAAUUU
rnacentral:rRNA from 1 species